GACCAGGUCCAGGAGCAUACGGUCUGCGUUCCUCUUGUUUACAGGUCAGCCUCCUGGAGUACACACCAGGGGGCAUGUGGCGGAGCAGGCCAUGGUGUUGAGCACACUAAAGCCACUAAGCUCUGAGUCUGACAUAAUGUUUAACAUCAGACCACAUCUCUGAGCCCAGCUUUCCAUUGUGGUGGGGGUGUGGGGCGCGAAGUAAGAAAUGACAGAACUAUUUUCCUUGAGAGGAAACGCCACUUGCAAAACGGUGGAGUUCAAGAUGCUUCACCUUGGACUGCCUCAUCAUAGAAGAUUACAGGCAGGGAAGAGUAUCCACUCUCCCACAUCACUACAGGUGCUGGUCAACAUUCAAGAACAUUCUGAUUUGAAGACUCAGAUUUACUUAUAAAAUGCACUGCAAGAAUGACAUCAUUGUGCAUUUUUCAAGUGAGUAUUUUCCAGCGGUUGGAUUUAUGCCAAAUAC
rnacentral:lncRNA from 1 species